CGUCUUUCAUGAAUGUAGAACAUUGUAAUGCGUUUGAUUUCACUUUUUCGUAAAGAAUUUCGAUAAAAGCAUGUUCGGUCUCGUCCGACCAUGACAUUGGUUUCUUAUCCCUACCUCUUUGACCACCCAUUUUCAAGCUACACUGAAUAUACUUCAAAUUAUCAAGAAAUAUAUAAGACCUUCCAUAGUCUACUCCAUACGUGAUACAUUGAAAGACAAGAUAUGUUUUGCAUGUGAUUUGCUUUUUCAAGUAUGGAAAAGAUUGCUUUUUAAACAUUUUUUCUGCAAUCAGAUUAAUGAUUCUUAUUUUUUCUUAGAUGAUACAAUCUUAUUUUUUCUUCCCUACUUGAUAUAAUGUUUAUGUUUAUGAUUGUUCAAAUCGAUCUUGAAUCACUUCUGAUCGUGAACUCGUCAACAUGGAGAUAUUCUAAAUAUCAUUUUUAAAUCCAUGUACUGGGUUAAAAUAUAAAACUUCGGCUGAUUGAUGACAAUGGAAAGGGUAACACUCAUUACUUCCGGGAAAAGGGCACCAAUUAAUCAUGUUAGUGAAUCCUUCCUUUCAUAAGAUCAGUCCACAAAAGGGAACUUGCCUUAAGCGUGGUCCAGCAAGAUUACAAUUUCAGACUUGCCACCGAAAAUACUCAAGCCACAGAGAAUCAGCUAAGGUUGAAGCAUCCCACGAAAUUAGCAUGAAACAAUUAUUGGAAAGAAAAUAAGCUAAAAGUAGCCCAAUCAUUGAACUUCGGGCAGAUUCGAUUUUGCAAUAGCAGAAUGUCGUCCUAUAAUAUGCUGCCAAAAUAUAAAGAUCUAAAGCCAGAUUCAAGAAUUCUAAAGUCACUACAACAAAAAAGUGUUUUUACAACAUAUAAAAUGCAACAUUCAUCAAUUAAAUGUUGACAAAAGGGUCUAUUGCAACAUUCUAAUAAGUGAAUGUUGCCAUUGGUGUUAAUAAUUGAGAUUUGGCAACAUUUUUGAAGUCAAUGUUGCUAAUGUCUCCUUUUGCAACGUUUAUUUAGUGUUGCGAAACUUUUUAUAUUUGCAACGCUUAUCAAACGUUGCGAAAAACCCUUUUAGCAAUGUUUUUUGCAAAAGAUCAAAAACGUUGCGAAAAAUGAUAUUUCACAACGUUUAAAAAAAGUUGCGAAAUGUUAUCUAUUUUGCAACGUUUGACAAACGUUGCGAAAAGUUGAACCUUUCGCAACGUUUUAUAAAUGUUGCAGACUCUCUUUGUUUAAAAAUAUUAGGCCAAUAGAGAAAAUCAAUAAUCCAAUCCAAAAAAACUCCAAACCCUUCCAUUUCCAUAUUUACCCCAACCCUUGCUGCCGGCAUAUAGAGGGAAAAACAAUUCCCAUUUUAUUUCUUUUGCCAAUCGAUCCCUCAAAUCCUGUAAUGGAGAGACGAUUUUUUUAUUUGUUGGGCAACUGAUCUGCUGGUGGUAAAAGAGAUUUUGCGGAAUUCAGUGUGAACAAGCCUGGAAAGAACAUUCGUGCCAUUGCUGUUUGAUGUUGGACGCUAUUUGCCUGUUAUAAAUGAGAAUUCAGCUCGUAGAAAUCUGUGUACUGUCAAGGAUUAGAGAACACAAUGACAGUAUUGCAAAUUUCGGGAAGCAGUUGAUGCUGAAGAGAUUAGUUUGUUGUAUGUACCAUAUGCGUAUUCAUUCAUUAGUUCUAUUGAGGAAGAUAUUUUCAUUGCUUAAGGGAGAUUUAAUGACAUGCUUUUAGAAAAGAAUUUGAGCCGAAAUUGAGCAAUAUAUGUACAGGGUUAUGAGCUGUCCCAAACAUGCACGUAAUUGCAGUCAAUCUUUUUCCUGAAUUGGGGAAAAAAAGAUUUUAUUACCUCAUGGUAUAUGAUGAGUGGACUGUCUAAAGAAAUUGAAGUUUAAAGAUGCAAAUUGUGGGCCGAUGAUGGGACUCUUUUUUAUGUCUAUUCUCUAGUGCAAGCUAUUGAACUUUGCCUGGUCAUUGUAAAAUUGAAGAUUCUGAAUUUUGUGGAGUCUUAUAUUUCAUCUUAAAAUUUCAGAUUCUGCAAUGUGAAAAAAUCACGCGCUCCUGUAAAUCUGGGACUUUAAGGAAGCAGUGAGAAAGUCAGUUACCUGCACAGUUUGAUAGGAAAGCAGGAUCUGGAUUGGGACCAACUAAAAAUUUGACGACUCACUGUUGUUUAUAGAGACCUACAUUGCUUUUGUCCGCUCCCAAUUAAUAGUUUUUAUACGCUGCACCUCAACUGAUUGGCGUUGAUUAAUGGCCUUUAUCUGUUAUACUUACCGAGCUGCUGAUCCUUUAGUCAGAAACUUCUACGGGGAAACUCAUGGUGUUCAUGAAGAAGUUCAACCUAUUAGUUUAGAUGUUGGAUGCCUAUCUAAAAGUUUAAACAUUAAUAAUGUUGUUUUACUAUUGGUAUAUUGAUAUGAAAACUAGGAUUGGUUUUGCUGUCAUGAUGAAAAAUAUAUUCUUGAGACACUUUCUGCUAACUGCAUUGUGUUCAAU